rnacentral:tRNA from 1 species
GCGCCCUUAGCUCAGCUGGAUAGAGCGUCUGACUACGAAUCAGAAGGUCGGGAGUUCGAAUCUCUCAGGGCGCGCCA